GGGGAAUAUUGCGCAAUGGGGGAAACCCUGACGCAGCAACGCCGCGUGGAGGAAGAAGGUCUUCGGAUUGUAAACUCCUGUCUUCUGGGACGAAUAAUGACGGUACCAGAGGAGGAAGCCACGGCUAACUACGUGCCAGCAGCCGCGGUAAUACGUAGGUGGCGAGCGUUGUCCGGAAUUACUGGGCGUAAAGGGCGCGUAGGCGGCUUUUUAAGUCAGAUGUGAAAACCCGGGGCUUAACUUCGGGACUGCAUUUGAAACUGGAGGGCUUGAGUGCAGGAGAGGUAAGUGGAAUUCCUAGUGUAGCGGUGAAAUGCGUAGAUAUUAGGAGGAACACCAGUGGCGAAGGCGACUUACUGUACUGUAACUGACGCUGAGGCGCGAAAGCGUGGGGAGCAAAC
rnacentral:rRNA from 1 species